rnacentral:misc_RNA from 1 species
GAUGAAGAACGCAGCGAAAUGCGAUAAGUAAUGUGAAUUGCAGAAUUCAGUGAAUCAUCGAAUCUUUGAACGCACAUUGCGCCCAUUAGCAUUCUAGUGGGCAUGCCUGUUCGAGCGUCAUUUCAACCCUUAAGCCCUGUUGCUUAGCGUUGGGAGCCUACAGUACUGUAGCUCCCCAAAGUUAGUGGCGGAGUCGGUUUCACACUCUAGACGUAGUAAUUUUUUCUCGUGUGUAGUUGAGCCGGUCCCCUGCCGUAAAACACCCAAUUUAUCAAGGUUGACCUCGGAUCAGGUAGGAAUACCCGCUGAACUUAAGCAUAUCAAUAAGCGGAGGA